CUUGAAACACGGACCAAGGAGUUUAUCGUGUACGCAAGUCAUUGGGUUAGCUAAACCCAAAGGCGAAAUGAAAGUAAAUAGUGUUUAAUAGUGGUUUUUCCAUUUUUUUACACUUAAGGGAAGAUAGAAUCUAUUUGUAGAUUUUAAAUUUUUUUUAUAAAAAAUUUAGUUUACAAAAUAGUUUCUCGCACUCCCUGGGCGCUUGUUCUCGUUUUUGCGAGUCAAUGCGCACCCAGAGCGUACACGCUGAUACCCGAAAGAUGGUGAACUAUGCCUGGCCAGGACGAAGCCAGGGGAAACCCUGGUGGAGGUCCGCAGCGAUUCUGACGUGCAAAUCGAUCGUCGGAGCUGGGUAUAGGGGCGAAAGACCAAUCGAACCAUCUAGUAGCUGGUUCCCUCUGAAGUUUCCCUCAGGAUA
rnacentral:rRNA from 1 species